AGAGUUGAUCAUGGCUCAGGAUGAACGCUAGCUACAGGCUUAACACAUGCAAGUCGAGGGGCAGCAUUGGAGUAGCAAUACUCAGAUGGCGACCGGCGCACGGGUGAGUAACACGUAUCCAACCUGCCGCUUACUCGGGGAUAGCCUUUCGAAAGAAAGAUUAAUACCCGAUGGUAUAAAGAGUUCGCAUGUUCUCUUUAUUAAAGAAUUUCGGUAAGCGAUGGGGAUGCGUCCAUUAGAUAGUUGGCGGGGUAACGGCCCACCAAGUCUACGAUGGAUAGGGGUUCUGAGAGGAAGGUCCCCCACAUUGGAACUGAGACACGGUCCAAACUCCUACGGGAGGCAGCAGUGAGGAAUAUUGGUCAAUGGACGAGAGUCUGAACCAGCCAAAAGUAGCGUGAAGGAUGACUGCCCUAGUGGGUUGUAAACUUCUUUUAUAAGGGAAUAAAGUGAGGGACGUGUCCCUUUUUGUAUGUACCUUAUGAAUAAGGAUCGGCUAACUCCGUGCCAGCCGCUGC
rnacentral:rRNA from 1 species